rnacentral:rRNA from 1 species
UUUAAAUUGAGAGUUUGAUCCUGGCUCAGGAUGAACGCUGGCGGCGUGCUUAACACAUGCAAGUCGAGCGAUGAAGUUUCCUUCGGGAAACGGAUUAGCGGCGGACGGGUGAGUAACACGUGGGUAACCUGCCUCAUAGAGUGGAAUAGCCUUCCGAAAGGAAGAUUAAUAC